GCCAGUGUGGUACAGCAGUUUGAGCACUGGACUAAGAUUCCAGAGACCAGAGUUCGAAUCCCUACUCAGCCA